rnacentral:rRNA from 1 species
AUACAUGCAGUCGAGCGGAUCUUUGGGAGCUUGCUCCCAAAGGUUAGCGGCGGACGGGUGAGUAACACGUGGGCAACCUGCCUAUGAGACUGGGAUAACUCCGGGAAACCGGGGCUAAUACCGGAUAAUUCUUUUCUACACAUGUAGAAAAGCUGAAAGAUGGUUUCGGCUAUCACUCAUAGAUGGGCCCGCGGCGCAUUAGCUAGUUGGUGAGGUAACGGCUCACCAAGGCGACGAUGCGUAGCCGACCUGAGAGGGUGAUCGGCCACACUGGGACUGAGACACGGCCCAGACUCCUACGGGAGGCAGCAGUAGGGAAUCUUCCGCAAUGGACGAAAGUCUGACGGAGCAACGCCGCGUGAGUGAUGAAGGUUUUCGGAUCGUAAAACUCUGUUGUUAGGGAAGAACAAGUACCGGAGUAACUGCCGGUACCUUGACGGUACCUAACCAGAAAGCCACGGCUAACUACGUGCCAGCAGCCGCGGUAAUACGUAGGUGGCAAGCGUUGUCCGGAAUUAUUGGGCGUAAAGCGCGCGCAGGUGGUCUCUUAAGUCUGAUGUGAAAGCCCCCGGCUCAACCGGGGAGGGUCAUUGGAAACUGGGAGACUUGAGUGCAGGAGAGAAGAGUGGAAUUCCACGUGUAGCGGUGAAAUGCGUAGAGAUGUGGAGGAACACCAGUGGCGAAGGCGACUCUUUGGCCUGUAACUGACACUGAGGCGCGAAAGCGUGGGGAGCAAACAGGAUUAGAUACCCUGGUAGUCCACGCCGUAAACGAUGAGUGCUAAGUGUUAGAGGGUUUCCGCCCUUUAUUGCUGCAGCAAACGCAUUAAGCACUCCGCCUGGGGAGUACGGCCGCAAGGCUGAGACUCAUAGGAAUUGACGGGGGCCCGCACAAGCGGUGGAGCAUGUGGUUUAAUUCUAAGCAACGCGGAGAACCUUACCAGGUCUUGACAUCCUUUUGCCUUCCCUAGAGAAAGGGCGUUCCCCUUCCGGGGACAAAAAUGACAGGUGGUGCAGGGGUGUCGUCGCCUCCUGUCGCGAGAUGUUGGGUUAAGUCCCGCAACAACCUCAACCCUUGAUCUUAGUUGCCAACAUUAAAUUGGGUAAUGAAAGGAGACUGCCGGUGACCACCCCCAGAAAAGGGGGGGAUGGGGUUCAAUCAUCCAGGCCCGUACGACCCCGGCUAACAACGUUGCAACAACGGGGGGU